rnacentral:piRNA from 1 species
UGGAAGUGGUGAUCUCAGACCUGGCUGA